UACGAAGGGGGCUAGCGUUGCUCGGAAUUACUGGGCGUAAAGCGCACGUAGGCGGCUUUCUAAGUCGGAGGUGAAAUCCUGGAGCUCAACUCCAGAACUGCCUUCGAUACUGGAGAGCUUGAGUCCGGGAGAGGUGAGUGGAACUGCGAGUGUAGAGGUGAAAUUCGUAGAUAUUCGCAAGAACACCAGUGGCGAAGGCGGCUCACUGGCCCGGUACUGACGCUGAGGUGCGAAAGCCAGGGGAGCGAACGGG
rnacentral:rRNA from 1 species